AGCAGGACCACUGGAAGAGACCAAGUGGCUGAGUUCAGGCUGUCGUUCAGACUGACCCCAAUGCUUCAUCUUGAAAUUCUCAUGUUGUGGUGAUUACUUCAAGCACUUUAAUGAACACGGCAUAGUGGGGAGCAGAUGAAAUCCUAGUGAAUGUGUACAGCCAUGUCAAGGAUACAAUGCCUCAGACCCCUGGGAUAGCAAGGCCUUCCCACGGUUCUCCAGAUGUUGGCAGUGUAUAUUUGCCACAGUUUCCUCCUCCCAGAUCACUGCAAUACGAGACUACUCCCUCACAAAGACCCUCUAGCAAGUGUCUCCAAGUGAAACGUGCAUGCAAGUUUUACACAGGGCCACGUCCUGCUCAAUGAAUGUGAGAAACUGUAGAAGCUGUAGAGAUGCUUCUUGUCCUUUUAAAGAUCUGAAUGCCGUCUGUUUCCCUAAACCAUCGACUCCACCUCUCCAAAAUACUUGGAUUUUUAAGGACCAAGAGCACGAUCAUGUGUUUUUCUGUAGAGAAUGCCUGGUUCUACUUUUUUAAAAAUUUAAACUUAUUAAUACCAGAGGUCAUAAAAGUGAGCAGAUUUCAAACUCAACUUGUAUCUUACAGGUGAAUAAUUAACUUUAAGGGAGUGUUGACUUCAUUAUACUAUAACACAACCCUUUUAAA